rnacentral:rRNA from 1 species
UUAGAGUUUGAUCCUGGCUCAGAUUGAACGCUGGCGGCAGGCCUAACACAUGCAAGUCGAGCGGAUGAAGGUAGCUUGCUAUCUGAUUCAGCGGCGGACGGGUGAGUAAUGCCUAGGAAUCUGCCUGGUAGUGGGGGACAACGUUUCGAAAGGAACGCUAAUACCGCAUACGUCCUACGGGAGAAAGUGGGGGAUCUUCGGACCUCACGCUAUCAGAUGAGCCUAGGUACGAUUAGCUAGUUGGUGAGGUAAAGGCUCACCAAGGCGACGAUCGUUAACUGGUCUGAGAGGAUGAUCAGUCACACUGGAACUGAGACACGGUCCAGACUCCUACGGGAGGCAGCAGUGGGGAAUAUUGGACAAUGGGCGAAAGCCUGAUCCAGCCAUGCCGCGUGUGUGAAGAAGGUCUUCGGAUUGUAAAGCACUUUAAGUUGGGAGGAAGGGCAGUAAGUUAAUACCUUGCUGUUUUGACGUUACCAACAGAAUAAGCACCGGCUAACUUCGUGCCAGCAGCCGCGGUAAUACGAAGGGUGCAAGCGUUAAUCGGAAUUACUGGGCGUAAAGCGCGCGUAGGUGGUUUUGUAAGUUGGAGGUGAAAUCCCCGGGCUCAACCUGGGAACUGCCUCCAAAACUGCAUGACUAGAGUACGGUAGAGGGUGGUGGAAUUUCCUGUGUAGCGGUGAAAUGCGUAGAUAUAGGAAGGAACAACAGUGGCGAAGGCGACCACCUGGACUGAUACUGACACUGAGGUGCGAAAGCGUGGGGAGCAAACAGGAU